rnacentral:rRNA from 1 species
UUACGGGAGGCAGCAGUGGGGAAUAUUGCACAAUGGGGGAAACCCUGAUGCAGCCAUGCCGCGUGUGUGAAGAAGGCCUUCGGGUUGUAAAGCACUUUCAGCGAGGAGGAAAGGUUGGUAGCUAAUAACUGCCAGCUGUGACGUUACUCGCAGAAGAAGCACCGGCUAACUCCGUGCCAGCAGCCGCGGUAAUA